UAGGGAAUCUUCCGCAAUGGACGAAAGUCUGACGGAGCAACGCCGCGUGAACGAUGAAGGUCUUCGGAUCGUAAAGUUCUGUUGUCAGGGAAGAACAAGUACCGUGCGAAUAGAGCGGUACCUUGACGGUACCUGACCAGAAAGCCACGGCUAACUACGUGCCAGCAGCCGCGGUAAUACGUGGUAAAAAAAGGCAAGCGUUGUCCGGAAUUAUUGGGCGUAAAGCGCGCGCAGGCGGUUUCUUAAGUCUGAUGUGAAAGCCCCCGGCUCAACCGGGGAGGGUCAUUGGAAACUGGGGAACUUGAGUACAGAAGAGGAGAGUGGAAUUCCACGUGUAGCGGUGAAAUGCGUAGAUAUGUGGAGGAACACCAGUGGCGAAGGCGACUCUCUGGUCUGUAACUGACGCUGAGGCGCGAAAAGCGUGGGGAGCGAACAGGAUUAGAUACCCUGGUAGUCCACGCCGUAAACGAUGAGUGCUAGGUGUUAGGGGGGCUUCCACCCCUUAGUGCUGAAG
rnacentral:rRNA from 1 species